rnacentral:rRNA from 1 species
UACGUAGGGGCCUAGCGUUGUCCGGAUUUAUUGGGCGUAAAGAGCUCGUAGGCGGUUCGGCAAGUCGGAUGUGAAAUCUCCACGCUUAACGUGGAGGGGCCAUUCGAAACUGCCGUGACUCGAGUCCGGUAGGGGAGUGUGGAAUUCCCGGUGUAGCGGUGAAAUUCGUAGAUAUCAGGAGGAACACCGGUGGCGAAGGCGGCUUUCUGGACGACAACUGACGCUGAGACGCGAAAGCGUGGGGAGCAAACAGG